CGUGGUUGCUUCCGGGAAGCAAAGAUGGCGCUGGCUCCGUGCUGCACUGUUCCUGUCCUUGAGCCCAGGCCCUGAGGUGAGGCUGAGAAGUGGCGCGGAGGUGAGCCCAGAGCUGUCCCUGAGGUGAGGCUGAGAAUAAGUGCAAGGCAGAGGUGCUGCUGAGGAAGGAGAGCCCCGUGGUGGGGAAGGCACAAAGCUGUGUGUGCCCAUCCCCGAGCAGGUGCUGUGUCCAUCCCCUGUGUGCCAGGAUUUCUCCUUCCCAAAGCUUGGCCAGAUGAAGGAGGCUGCGAGGAAGAGGAAGAUGCCUUGGGCCCCCCAGGCAGGUGAGGAGGAAGUCAGUGUCCCUUUGGGCGGGUGUUGUGCUGGCUCUGUCAGCCGAGCAUGGCCCCGGCUGCAGGACAACCCCGCUGGCGCCGCCGUCCUGCCGGGGCCGGAGUUGGGGGGAUGUCCUUGGCCUUCCCUGUGGGCCGGAGGCAAAUCCCCUCCCUGUCCUUCUUGCUUCCUGCCCCAGGCCCCGAGCUGAGGACGGAGAGCCCGGAGGACAAAUCCCCCCGGCAGAGCCUGGUGGGAGAGGCCGUUUUGAAGGGCUCCCCGGCGCAGGAAGGCAGCGGGGAGGAAAAGGGCCGGAGAUCCCCCCCCAGGAGGGGCUCCAAAGCCAGCCCAGGGUGCUCUGAGGAGGAAAGAGCCAGCCUGUGCCGGGAAGGCAGCCAGAGCUUGAGCCAGAGCUCUGACCUGGUGGUCCCUGAGCAGCCUCCCAGCAGGGAGAAGCCCUUCAGGUGCCUGGA